ACUUAAAUAGCUUAUAUAGAGUAUAAUAUUGAAGAUAUUAUGGAAAUUUUUAAAAUUUUUAAGUA
rnacentral:tRNA from 1 species